rnacentral:rRNA from 1 species
GGAGGGUGCGAGCGUUGUCCGGAAUCACUGGGCGUAAAGGGCGCGUAGGUGGCUCGUUAAGUGGUCGGUGAAAUCCCGGGGCUCAACUCCGGGGCUGCCGGUCAGACUGGCGGGCUAGAGCACGGUAGGGGCAGAUGGAAUUCCCGGUGUAGCGGUGGAAUGCGUAGAUAUCGGGAAGAACACCAGUGGCGAAGGCGUUCUGCUGGGCCGUUGCUGACACUGAGGCGCGGCAGCGUGGGGAGCAAACAGGAUUAGAUACCCUGGUAGUCCACGCCGUAAACGAUGGGCACUAGGCGUCGGGGGGAGCGACCCUCCCGGUGCCGUCGCUAACGCAGUAAGUGCCCCGCCUGGGGAGUACGGCCGCAAGGCUG